CCCUGCAACUCACAACUGGCAACCCACUGAAGCUAAGCAGGUAUGAGCCUGGUCAGUACCUGGAUGGGAGACCUCCUGGGAAAAACUAAGGUUGCUGCUGGAA
rnacentral:rRNA from 1 species